AGAGCGAACGCUGGCGGCAGGCUUAACACAUGCAAGUCGAGCGGGCGUAGCAAUACGUCAGCGGCAGACGGGUGAGUAACGCGUGGGAACAUACCUUUUGGUUCGGAACAACCCAGGGAAACUUGGGCUAAUACCGGAUAAGCCCUUACGGGGAAAGAUUUAUCGCCAAAAGAUUGGCCCGCGUCUGAUUAGCUAGUUGGUGAGGUAACGGCUCACCAAGGCGACGAUCAGUAGCUGGUCUGAGAGGAUGAUCAGCCACAUUGGGACUGAGACACGGCCCAAACUCCUACGGGAGGCAGCAGUGGGGAAUAUUGGACAAUGGGCGAAAGCCUGAUCCAGCGACGUCGCGUGGGUGAUUAAGGCCUUCGGGUUGUAAGCCUUUCGGCAGGGAAGAUAAUGACGGUACCUGCAAAGAAGACUCCGGCUAACUUCGUGCCAGCAGCCGC
rnacentral:rRNA from 1 species